rnacentral:rRNA from 1 species
UACGUAGGGAGCAAGCGUUGUCCGGAAUCAUUGGGCGUAAAGCGCGCGUAGGCGGCCCAGUAAGUCCGUUCUGAAAGUCAAAGGCUCAACCUUUGAAAGCGGAUGGAUACUGCUGGGCUAGAGUCCGGAAGAGGCGAGUGGAAUUCCUGGUGUAGCGGUGGAAUGCGCAGAUAUCAGGAGGAACACCAACGGCGAAGGCAGCUCGCUGGGACGGUACUGACGCUAAGGCGCGAAAGCGUGGGGAGCGAACAGG